AAUUUAAGUAGAGUGUUAUGAACGAGCAUAUGCCUUUUUUCUACUUUAUGGCAUUUGUUUCUCUGCUAACCCGAGUUUCUAAAAAAAAAAACGAAAGCCGAUGAUCACGGUGAAUCAAAUGACUAAACGCCUUGGCCGGUAAAUAUGUAAAUCUCCGUAGCAACCUUUACGCCUUGACAAUCGUUAGUUUGCAGAGUUGAAGAAAAGUCGAUAUGUUUAGGUCAAUAGCUACCGAGUCUACUUUUCUACGCUACAGCGGCAUUGAAGUUAGCAGAAGACUCAAUUUUGCAGGAGACUAUUUAGCUAUCUGAUCAGUCAGUGUAAUAAUUAGAGAGCGCUUUCGCUCACCCUUCUUGGCGGCCACCAUAAAGCGACUCACAGCGAAAUUGUGUAUAGAGAUUAAGCAACAGCGGAAUAUUUUGAUAAAUACAAAUUAGAUAGUCAAUGAAUUACUAAGCUGAAUAGAAUGAAAAAGAAAGAAAAAUCCAAAGUGAAAAUUGACAGUUACUGAGCUUGUCUACGCCCCCUAAAUUUCACGCGGAAAAUAUUCCUCUACCGUGCAAGGCGGAGACUUUUGAACAAUGUGUUAGCUUAGGAUUUAAGUCACAUCUUAG